rnacentral:rRNA from 2 species
AGCACCGGCUAACUCCGUGCCAGCAGCCGCGGUAAUACGGAGGGUGCAAGCGUUAAUCAGAAUUACUGGGCGUAAAGAGCACGUAGGCGGAUUUUUAAGUUAGAUGUGAAAUCCCUAGGCUCAACCUAGGAACUGCAUUUAAAACUAAUAAUCUAGAGUAUCGUAGAGGGAGGUAGAAUUCCAGGUGUAGCGGUGAAAUGCGUAGAUAUCUGGAGGAAUACCUGUGGCGAAAGCGACCUCCUGGACGAAUACUGACGCUCAGGUGCGAAAGCAUGGGUAGCAAACAGGAUUAGAUACCCUGGUAGUCCAUGCCGUAAACGAUGUCGACUUGGAGGUUGUUUCCUUGAGAGAUGACUUCCGAAGCUAACGCAUUAAGUCGACCGCCUGGGAAGUACGGCCGCAAGGCUAAAACUCAAAUGAAUUGACGGGGGCCCGCACAAGCGGUGGAGCA